rnacentral:rRNA from 1 species
UACGAAGGGGGCUAGCGUUGCUCGGAAUCACUGGGCGUAAAGGGUGCGUAGGCGGGUCUUUAAGUCAGGGGUGAAAUCCUGGAGCUCAACUCCAGAACUGCCUUUGAUACUGGAGAGCUUGAGUCCGGGAGAGGUGAGUGGAACUCCGAGUGUAGAGGUGAAAUUCGUAGAUAUUCGGAAGAACACCAGUGGCGAAGGCGGCUCACUGGCCCGGUACUGACGCUGAGGUGCGAAAGCGUGGGGAGCAAACAGG